rnacentral:rRNA from 1 species
GACGAACGCUGGCGGCGUGCUUAACACAUGCAAGUCGAGCGGAAAGGUCCUGCUUUUGUGGGGUGCUCGAGUGGCGAACGGGUGAGUAACACGUGAGUAACCUGCCCUUGACUUUGGGAUAACUUCAGGAAACUGGGGCUAAUACCGGAUAGGAGCUCCUGCUGCAUGGUGGGGGUUGGAAAGUUUCGGCGGUUGGGGAUGGACUCGCGGCUUAUCAGCUUGUUGGUGGGGUAGUGGCUUACCAAGGCUUUGACGGGUAGCCGGCCUGAGAGGGUGACCGGCCACAUUGGGACUGAGAUACGGCCCAGACUCCUACGGGAGGCAGCAGUGGGGAAUAUUGCACAAUGGGCGGAAGCCUGAUGCAGCAACGCCGCGUGCGGGAUGACGGCCUUCGGGUUGUAAACCGCUUUCGCCUGUGACGAAGCGUGAGUGACGGUAAUGGGUAAAGAAGCACCGGCUAACUACGUG